rfam:Oryza sativa Indica Group cultivar 93-11 Ctg035822, whole genome shotgun sequence.
UUUAAGUACAACCAUAAGUUUCUGUGUCCAACUUUAAUCGUCCUUCUUAUUUAAACAUUUUUUAUAAUUAGUAUUUUUUUAUGAGAUGAUAAAACAUGAAAAAUACUUUACUCGUGAUUUAUGUUUUUAAUUUUUUUUAAAAUUUUUUUAAAAUAAGACAAAUGAUCAAAAUUGAGCGUGGAAAACCAUGGCUGCACUUGGA